rnacentral:rRNA from 1 species
AGGCUUAACACAUGCAAGUCGAGCGCCCCGCAAGGGGAGCGGCAGACGGGUGAGUAACGCGUGGGAACGUACCCUUUACUACGGAAUAACGCAGGGAAACUUGUGCUAAUACCGUAUGUGCCCUUUGGGGGAAAGAUUUAUCGGUAAAGGAUCGGCCCGCGUUGGAUUAGCUAGUUGGUGGGGUAAAGGCCUACCAAGGCGACGAUCCAUAGCUGGUCUGAGAGGAUGAUCAGCCACAUUGGGACUGAGACACGGCCCAAACUCCUACGGGAGGCAGCAGUGGGGAAUAUUGGACAAUGGGCGCAAGCCUGAUCCAGCCAUGCCGCGUGAGUGAUGAAGGCCCUAGGGUUGUAAAGCUCUUUCACCGGAGAAAGAUAAUGACGGUAUCCGGAGAAGAAGCCCCGGCUAACUUCGUGCCAGCAGCCCGCGGUAAUACGAAGGGGGCUAGCGUUGUUCGGAAUUACUGGGCGUAAAGCGCACGUAGGCGGAUCGAUCAGUCAGGGGUGAAAUCCCAGGGCUCACCCUGGAACUGCCUUUGAUACUGUCGAUCUUGGAGUAU